rnacentral:rRNA from 1 species
UCCGUAGGUGGCAAUCGUUGUCCGGAUUUACUGGGUGUAAAGGGCGUGUAGGCGGGAUAGCAAGUCAGAUGUGAAAUUCCGGGGCUUAACCCCGGCGCUGCAUCUGAAACUGUUAUUCUUGAGUGUCGGAGAGGAAAGUGGAAUUCCCAGUGUAGCGGUGAAAUGCGUAGAGAUUGGGAGGAACACCAGUGGCGAAGGCGGCUUUCUGGACGAUAACUGACGCUGAGGCGCGAAAGCGUGGGGAGAAAACAGG